rnacentral:rRNA from 1 species
UGACGGUACCUGACUAAGAAGCUCCGGCUAAAUACGUGCCAGCAGCCGCGGUAAUACGUAUGGAGCAAGCGUUAUCCGGAUUUACUGGGUGUAAAGGGAGCGUAGGCGGUGAUGCAAGUCAGAAGUGAAAACCCGGGGCUCAACCCCGUGGAUUGCUUUUGAGACUGUGUUGCUGGAGUACAGGAGGGGCAGGCGGAAUUCCUGGUGUAGCGGUGAAAUGCGUAGAUAUUAGGAGGAACACCAGUGGCGAAGGCGGCUUACUGGACGGUAAAUGACGCUCAGGCUCGAAAGCGUGGGGAGCAAACAGGAUUAGAUACCCUG